rnacentral:rRNA from 1 species
GACGAACGCUGGCGGCGUGCUUAACACAUGCAAGUCGAACGAAGUGGCGAACGGGUGAGUAACGCGUAAUCAACCUGCCCUUCAGAGGGGGACAACAGUUGGAAACGACUGCUAAUACCGCAUACUGAAGGAGGGGCUUGCGUCUGAGUAGCUAGUUGGAGGGGUAACGGCCCACCAAGGCUAUGAUCAGUAGCCGGUCUGAGAGGAUGAACGGCCAAAUGGGGACUGAGACAUGGCCCAGACGCCUACGGGAGGCAGCAGGGGGGAAUCUGCCGCAAGGGACGAAAGUCUGACGGAGCAACGCCGCGUGAGUGAUGACGGCCUUCGGGUUGUAAAGCUCUGUUAAUCGGGACGCGGUACCGGAAUAGAAAGCCACGGCUAACUACGUGCCAGCAGCCGCGGUAAUUC